GACGAACGCUGGCGGCGUGCUUAACACAUGCAAGUCGAACGGAAAGGCCCUGCUUUUGUGGGGUGCUCGAGUGGCGAACGGGUGAGUAACACGUGAGUAACCUGCCCUUGACUUUGGGAUAACUUCAGGAAACUGGGGCUAAUACCGGAUAGGAGCUCCUGCUGCAUGGUGGGGGUUGGAAAGUUUCGGCGGUUGGGGAUGGACUCGCGGCUUAUCAGCUUGUUGGUGGGGUAGUGGCUUACCAAGGCUUUGACGGGUAGCCGGCCUGAGAGGGUGACCGGCCACAUUGGGACUGGGAUACGGCCCGGACUCCUACGGGAGGCAGCAGUGGGGAAUAUUGCACAAUGGGCGGAAGCCUGAUGCAGCAACGCCGCGUGCGGGAUGACGGCCUUCGGGUUGUAAACCGCUUUCGCCUGUAACGAAGCGUGAGUGACGGUAAUGGGUAAAGAAGCACCGGCUAACUACGUG
rnacentral:rRNA from 1 species